UACGAAGGGGGCUAGCGUUGCUCGGAAUCACUGGGCGUAAAGCGCACGUAGGCGGACUCUUAAGUCGGUGGUGAAAUCCUGGAGCUCAACUCCAGAACUGCCUUCGAUACUGGGAGUCUCGAGUUCGGGAGAGGUGAGUGGAACUGCGAGUGUAGAGGUGAAAUUCGUAGAUAUUCGCAAGAACACCAGUGGCGAAGGCGGCUCACUGGCCCGAUACUGA
rnacentral:rRNA from 1 species